AUUGAACGCUGGCGGAAUGCUUUACACAUGCAAGUCGAACGGCAGCACGGGGGCAACCCUGGUGGCGAGUGGCGAACGGGUGAGUAAUACAUCGGAACGUGCCCGGUCGUGGGGGAUAACGUAGCGAAAGUUACGCUAAUACCGCAUACGAUCUGAGGAUGAAAGCGGGGGACCUUCGGGCCUCGCGCGAUCGGAGCGGCCGAUGUCAGAUUAGGUAGUUGGUGGGGUAAAGGCCUACCAAGCCGACGAUCUGUAGCUGGUCUGAGAGGACGACCAGCCACACUGGGACUGAGACACGGCCCAGACUCCUACGGGAGGCAGCAGUGGGGAAUUUUGGACAAUGGGCGCAAGCCUGAUCCAGCCAUUCCGCGUGCAGGACGAAGGCCUUUGGGUUGUAAACUGCUUUUGUAUGGAACGAAAAGGCUCUGGCUAAUACCUGGGGCUCAUGACGGUACCGUAAGAAUAAGCACCGGCUAACUACGUG
rnacentral:rRNA from 1 species